rnacentral:tRNA from 1 species
CCUCGUGUCACAGUUCAAAUA